rnacentral:tRNA from 1 species
GAGUCGGUGGCUGAGUUUAAGCAUAGGGCUUUUAACCCUAGAACGGCAUAUAGCCCCCUCUCG